GCGGCAGGCUUAACACAUGCAAGUUGAACGGGAUUUUUGGUGCUUGCACCAAGAUGAGAGUGGCGCACGGGUGAGUAACACGUGGGAACAUACCGUUUAGUGGGGGACAACCAUUGGAAACGAUGGCUAAUACCGCAUACGCCCUUAGGGGGAAAGAUUAAUCGCGGAAUGAAUGGCCCGCGGGACAUUAGGUCGUUGGUAGGGUAAAGGCUUACCAAGCCUACGAUGUUUAGCUGGUCUGAGAGGACGAUCAGCCACACUGGGACUGAGACACGGCCCAGACUCCUACGGGAGGCAGCAGUGAGGAAUAUUGGGCAAUGGGCGCAAGCCUGACCCAGCCAUGCCGCGUGAGUGAAGAAGGUUUUCGGAUUGUAAAGCUCUUUCGGAUGUGAAGAUAAUGACGGUAGCAUCUAAAGAAGCCCCGGCUAACUUCGUGCCAGCCGCCGCGGUAAUAC
rnacentral:rRNA from 1 species